AUUAAAAAAAAAAUUGAGUGUACAGAGAAGGUGAAAGUUGAACACUAAAGCACCCCCAAAUGAACGUGACCUAACUUCUUCUAACCUAGUAAGUCAGUAACCCCCACGUCCCACCCCCUAACGGAAACUAGCCCCUCUCUUCUCGGAUCUCACAGUCUCGCUCUCUGCACCCCCAGCGCCGGCGAGACCGUUCCUCCCACCACCUCCCAGCGCCGCCGAAUCUUUCCUCCCACUGCUCCCAGGACCUCCUCGCGGACAGAGAGAGCACCACGAAGCCCCAGCCACAGCCAGCGCCCAGCAGCCCAGCACCACCCUCGCACAGUCGCACCCAGCAGGCCGCACCACGCCACCACCCAGCAGCGUUUCUGGCCACCCACAACACAACACCUCCCACCCAGUCACCGAUUCAAGUCAGAGAUGGAGCCCGAGCCACCGAGUCAGGUAUAAAGGUGGACCAGCAUCACCGAGGAAGUUGAUCUCGCAGGGUGCUGCACAGAAGCAAUAUAGUGUUGAGGUUCACCCACUCAUUUUGGAGUUGACUGGUGCCAGAGAUAACAGUGUGUCAACUGUAAAAUUAAGCAAAAAGGCGAACAUAAGGGACCUAUAUGAACUGGUGUGCAAAAUCAAAGGAGUAGAACAGAAAAAGGAGAAGCAUUAUUAAGAACUUUAAAAAGAGGUGGUAAUGCGUUAGAGCAGUUAGUUUGUUCCGAUGGGGUGGAGAUCACGUUCCUACACUGGCCUCUUUCUGUCAGUAGUAAGGAUUGCGAAGUCACAUUCGGUGCCGGUCUCUCAAAAGUCCAAAGUAUUUUAUUAUUCAGCUCCAGGUGUUUUAAAAGGUUGUUUUAGUAAUGGUUAUGUGAUGAAUUUUCAAUCAACUAGAACAUAUGCUCGAGGUGGACGCAAAGGUUAUGAUCUCUUUAGCAGCAGAAAACCAGGGAGUGCAGAUUUCAGGAAAGCCUGGGCGAAGGAGAUGGAUGAAGAUAACACUCUAUGGACAGGAAGCGAAGAUGAAACUGAUGAAGAAAAGGACUCAAAGAGUCAUCCUGAUAAAGAGAUUAGGAAGGCAAGACAGCAAGCUAAAGAACAUGCAGAUCUGAUCGAUGCCGAUGACAGUGAUGAGUUAAGAAGUGUUUGGUCUGACACCGAUGAAGAGAAGACGCUGUGGACUGGUGAUGAAAUGGACAGUGAUGAUGACAUUCCUACAGAAGCUUAUCCAAAUGAAAAAAGUGAUAAGUACAUAGAUAAAUUGUUUGAGUUUGAUGAAAUGCCGAAAUAUAGAACCAUCUCAGAGAUGUUGAAAGCCGAACAAGAACCGGAAGAGUUGUCACCAGGAAAGCAAGCUCGGAAGAUUGCUGUUGAGAAUGCUCUCAAGAAACUAAAGAAAGGUCCAGAUGGGAGGUACACCAAUGUAUGGGAAGUAAUGAGUGACUUGGACAUUCUUAUUGGAGCAUUUGAGAAUGUUGUUUCAGGUCCAGAGUAUGCAGAGCUUCGACAAGGAGGGCCUAAACAAUUGAAUAUGCAAUUUUUCAAGGACAUACGAGCACGUAUGAGAGAUCCAAAUUACAAAUUCUCACCUGAGUUGAAAUUGAGACCAAAGAGUAAACUGGUUCCAAGAAAAAAUGGCAAAAAGCACAGGCUAGAAGGAGAAAAGCACAAAAGAGGUAAAAGCCAAUGGGCUUACAUUGUAGUUUACCUUUGUACUACUUAUGCUACUUCUUUAAGGUAGUGUUUGUUUCCAGAGACUGGGAUUGGGACUUAGUAUUGUGUUUGGUGGCCAAAGACUGGAACUAAAAUUUCAGUCCCGGAACACAAAAUUCCCUUUAGUACGAGAAAAUAGGAACACAGGGGACUGAAAUUUUUGGGAAUGGAGAUAGAAACUUUGAUAACAUUUCCUUUCAAAAAUACCCUCAUUUAACUUUUCAAAUUCCAAAUCUACCUUUUAAUCUCCGUAUUUAUGUUAAACUACAUAUAAUAUGGAGACAUAACUCAGUUCAAUACAUUUUAUAUCAAACACAAUACAAAGACUUAAUUUAGUCUCUGUUUUCGAGUCUCAAUCUCCCUUCCAAACGUAGCCUAAUAGAUUAGAAUACAACAACAACAAAUGCUUGUCCCAUUAGGGUUGUUUCUGAGUUGGGUUUUACGGGAAAAAGGGAAGGAAAGGAAAGGCUUGUAGUGUUAAACUUUAAAUUUUUUACAUUACAUUUCCCUUCUUUUCCUACUCUUCCCAUCCCUCCAAAAUGCCAGCUCGCAAACAACCCUCUUAGGCAGGGUCGGCUGCAUAGUUUAGUCAAUUUAUAGUUAAACCUUUUUAAUAUUGGAUGAGAAUGAUGUAUACCAAUGGAUUAGAUAUUUCACUAUUUAAUCCAUGCAUGAAUAUUCUUAGUAUACAUAUAUACAGUGAUGGAGAAUUCUAGUAGUCAUAUUUAGUA